UUGUUUCUUCGAUCACUGCAUCUGAGAGUCGCUUCCAUAUUUUCCCUAAAGUCCUCGCCUUUGACGGAAAGCAAAAGCCUUUCGAUUCCCCAAAACAUGGGCUGCGCCGUCGCAAUCACUCUUUUAAUCGCCGCCGCAACGCUGAUCAUCACUCGCUUCCUCUACGUCCUGCACCGAACCGGCAAACCCAGCAGCUCGAAAGGCUCAGCUCCCCAACCCCUCAGCACCCUAAUCGUAUUGGGCUCCGGAGGCCACACCGCAGAGAUGAUCAACCUGUUGUCCGUCCUUCAAAAAGACAGAUUUGCCCCCAGGUUCUACAUCGCCGCCGCCACUGAUAACAUGAGUCUCCAGAAAGCUCGACUGCUCGAAGAGAACGCCGAUGAGAGUUCGAGCUCGCAGUUCAUGCAGAUCUACCGGAGCAGGGAAGUGGGUCAGUCUUAUUUCACCUCUGUUUUGACUGCUUUGAUUGCUUUGGCUCAUGGGCUCUGGCUAAUGAUCAGAAUCCGACCCCAAGUGAUUCUGUGCAAUGGGCCUGGGACUUGUGUUCCACUUUGUGUAAUUGCAUUCUUAUUCAAGGUUGUGGGGAUUAGAUGGUCGUCUGUGUUUUAUGUUGAGAGUAUAGCAAGAGUGCAGAGGCUCUCCCUGAGCGGCUUGCUUCUUUACAAGUUACGGAUAGCGGAUCAGUUCUUUGUCCAAUGGCCUCAGUUACAGAAGAAGUAUCCCAGAGCUCACUAUGUCGGUUGUCUCAUGUAGUUGAUCCGAUUCUGCUGCUGCUGCUAUACGUGCUCUAACGUCCAGGUUUUCUCAAUCGAAGGACAAUGCCCAGAACUUUUACUGAACAUGAAUGGAACAAAUAGGUCCAGAUGAAAUGUUUCCAUCUUCAAAUAAAUUUCAGAUUUGGACUCUGAAUCGUCAAGGUAGUGCUGAUAGAGAUAUGACGCAAAGCCCCAGAGGGCCAACAACGUGGCAAUCACCUUUAUUCCAUCCAUGUUAUCAUUGAAGAAGAUUACAGCUAGAACUGGAAUGAAAGGUAAGCCGGAAGCACUUAUGACAUUGGAGACUAAAGAAGACACCUCAAAUAUCAAUCCUAUGGCGCCAAUGUUGAAAGUUUGACAUGCUGUAGCUGUACAAAUCAAAGUCAGGAAAUAGGAUAGCCUCCCCAACGCAAACUCCUCCAUCUCGCUCUUUAAACCCUUCCAUUC